CUACCCUCGAGCAGAUGGACACACGCACCUAACUUGGUGUCAUCAUAGAUGCUGAGGUUCUAAUCAGUAGAAUAACUGCUAUUACAGAUGACCUGAGGAAAUUGGAACAACCAAUAAAAUCAUCCUUAUUGGCCUUAGGAGCAAGUCAAUGGCUAUUAUCAGACAUUUUA